AAGGAGAUGAGCCAAGAAGCUCUCAGUGCGAGAGCGAGUGAGUGGGGUUAAGAGGUAAGUAUAGGUCGUAGCUUGUCCGGCCUGCGUCGUCACCAGACAAGUUAAUGCUGCGCCCCGAUGAUUUCUUGGCCAAGCAUUGGCUGUAAGCAAGUGAAGUAUUAUAAAGAAUGCGGCGAUAU